GAUGAACGCUGGCGGCGUGCCUAAUACAUGCAAGUCGAGCGAACAGACGAGGAGCUUGCUCCUCUGACGUUAGCGGCGGACGGGUGAGUAACACGUGGAUAACCUACCUAUAAGACUGGGAUAACUUCGGGAAACCGGAGCUAAUACCGGAUAAUAUAUUGAACCGCAUGGUUCAAUAGUGAAAGACGGUUUUGCUGUCACUUAUAGAUGGAUCCGCGCCGCAUUAGCUAGUUGGUAAGGUAACGGCUUCCCAAGGCAACGAUGCGUAGCCGACCUGAGAGGGUGAUCGGCCACACUGGAACUGAGACACGGUCCAGACUCCUACGGGAGGCAGCAGUAGGGAAUCUUCCGCAAUGGGCGAAAGCCUGACGGAGCAACGCCGCGUGAGUGAUGAAGGUCUUCGGAUCGUAAAACUCUGUUAUUAGGGAAGAACAAAUGUGUAAGUAACUAUGCACGUCUUGACGGUACCUAAUCAGAAAGCCACGGCUAACUACGUG
rnacentral:rRNA from 1 species